AUAAACUCCCAAAUCCUACUUCAUUUUUUACUCACUAUGACAUGACAUGCCUUGAUUGCUUAAUUUAGUAAGGGGUCAUAAUGUUUAUCCAUUCUUUUUUUCUUCUUCCUCUAAUCAAAUUUGAACACAAGUGGGAGAAAAAGUUGGGAGGAUGAUUUUGGGAGUGCAUUUAAAAAUUUUAAAA